GACGAACGCUGGCGGCGUGCCUAAUACAUGCAAGUCGAACGAAGCUGUUUUAACUGGUGCUUGCACCGACUUAAACAACUGAGUGGCGAACGGGUGAGUAACACGUGGGUAACCUGCCCCAAAGCGGGGGAUAACAUUUGGAAACAGAUGCUAAUACCGCAUAAUCACAGAAACCACAUGGUUUCUGUGUCAAAGAUGGUUUCGGCUAUAACUUUGGGAUGGACCUGCGGCGUAUUAGCUAGUUGGUAAGGUAAUGGCUUACCAAGGCAAUGAUACGUAGCCGAACUGAGAGGUUGAUCGGCCACAUUGGGACUGAGGCACGGCCCAAACUCCUACGGGAGGCAGCAGUAGGGAAUCUUCCACAAUGGACGAAAGUCUGAUGGAGCAACGCCGCGUGAGUGAAGAAGGUUUUCGGAUCGUAAAACUCUGUUGUCAGAGAAGAACGUGUGCGAGAGUAACUGUUCGUGCAGUGACGGUAUCUGGCCAGAAAGCCACGGCUAACUACGUGCCAGCAGCCGCAGUAA
rnacentral:rRNA from 1 species